rnacentral:rRNA from 1 species
UACGUAGGGUGCGAGCGUUAAUCGGAAUUACUGGGCGUAAAGCGUGCGCAGGCGGCUUCGCAAGUCAGACGUGAAAUCCCCGGGCUUAACCUGGGAAUGGCGUUUGAAACUACGGAGCUGGAGUGUGGCAGAGGGAGGUAGAAUUCCACGUGUAGCGGUGAAAUGCGUAGAUAUGUGGAGGAAUACCGAUGGCGAAGGCAGCCUCCUGGGCCAACACUGACGCUCAUGCACGAAGGCGUGGGGAGCAAACAGG